rnacentral:rRNA from 1 species
GACGAACGCUGGCGGCGUGCUUAACACGUGCAAGUCGAGCGGUAAGGCCCUUUCGGGGGUACACGAGCGGCGAACGGGUGAGUAACACGUGGGUGACCUGCCCUCAGCUCUGGGAUAAGCCUGGGAAACCGGGUCUAAUACCGGAUAUGACUCCAUGACGCAUGUUGUGGGGUGGAAAGCCUUGUGCGGCUGAGGAUGGGCCCGCGGCCUAUCAGCUUGUUGGUGGGGUGAUGGCCACCAAGGCGACGACGGGUAGCCGGCCUGAGAGGGCGACCGGCCACACUGGGACUGAGACACGGCCCAGACUCCUACGGGAGGCAGCAGUGGGGAAUCUUGCGCAAUGGGCGAAAGCCUGACGCAGCGACGCCGCGUGAGGGAUGAC